rnacentral:SRP_RNA from 1 species
UCGUGCUAGAUGGGGAGCCAGCGGUGCCCUGUAACCUGCAAUCCGCUACAGCAGGGUUGAACUCCGGCUUAAGGCUUUUGUCUGGCAGGACUACUUGGGUUAAGCGGUGUUGAAGACCGGGUUCUGCGCGGCAGAACUCUAUGAACCCCGUCAGGUCCGAAAGGAAGCAGCGGUAAAUAGUCGUUUCUGGGUGCCGCAGGAUUACCUGGUCGGAGCCGGUUGACUCAAGCAAGCUAUCCGACGGGGUCAAGGGCCGGUGCACGA